GACGAACGCUGGCGGCGUGCUUAACACAUGCAAGUCGAACGGAAAGACACUGCUUUUGUGCGUUGCUCGAGUGGCGCGCGCGGGAGUGUCACGUGAGUAUCCUGCCCCUGUCUUUGUGGUAACUUCAGGGAACACGGGCUAAUACCCGGUAUAAGAUCCAGCUGCGUGGUGUUCUUUGGAAAGUUUCGGCGGUUGGGGAUGGACUGGAGGCUUAUGAGCUUGUUGGUGGGGUAGUUGCUUACCAAGGCUUUGACGGGUAGCCGGCCUGGGAGAGUGACCGGGGACAAGGGGCCUGAGGGACGGCCCAGAAGCGUACGGGAGGCAGCAGGGGAGAACAUGGCACAACGGGCGGAAGUGUGAGGCAGAAACGUCGCGUGCGGGAUGAUGGGUUUUGGGGGGAAAACCGCUGUCGACGUAGACGAAGAGGUAGUGACGGUAAUGGGUAAAGAAGCACCGGCUAACUACGUG
rnacentral:rRNA from 1 species